UACGUAGGGGGCAAGCGUUGUCCGGAUUUAUUGGGCGUAAAGAGCGUGUAGGCGGCUUUGCAAGUCCGUUGUGAAAACUCGAGGCUCAACCUCGAGACGCCGGUGGAAACCGCAAAGCUAGAGUCCGGAAGAGGAGAGUGGAAUUCCUGGUGUAGCGGUGAAAUGCGCAGAUAUCAGGAAGAACACCCGUGGCGAAGGCGGCUCUCUGGGACGGUACUGACGCUGAGACGCGAAAGCGUGGGGAGCGAACAGG
rnacentral:rRNA from 1 species